rnacentral:rRNA from 1 species
GACGAACGCUGGCGGCGUGCUUAACACAUGCAAGUCGAACGGAAAGGCCCUGCUUUUGUGGGGUGCUCGAGUGGCGAACGGGUGAGUAACACGUGAGUAACCUGCCCUUGACUUUGGGAUAACUUCAGGAAACUGGGGCUAAUACCGGAUAGGAGCUCCUGCUGCAUGGUGGGGGUUGGAAAGUUUCGGCGGUUGGGGAUGGACUCGCGGCUUAUCAGCUUGUUGGUGGGGUAGUGGCUUACCAAGGCUUUGACGGGUAGCCGGCCUGAGAGGGUGACCGGCCACAUUGGGACUGAGAUACGGCCCAGACUCCUACAGGAGGCAGCAGUGGGGAAUAUUGCACAAUGGGCGGAAGCCUGAUGCAGCAACGCCGCGUGCGGGAUAACGGCCUUCGGGUUGUAAACCGCUUUCGCCUGUGACGAAGCGUGAGUGACGGUAAUGAGUAAAGAAGCACCGGCUAACUACGUG